rnacentral:rRNA from 1 species
UCUCUGGGUGGCGAGUGGCGGACGGGUGAGGAAUACAUCGGAAUGUACCCUUUAGUGGGGGAUAACGUAGGGAAAGUUACGCUAAUACCGCAUACGACCUUCGGGUGAAAGCAGGGGACCUUCGGGCCUUGCGCUCAUGGAUGAGCCGAUGUCGGAUUAGCUAGUUGGCGGGGUAAAGGCUCACCAAGGCGACGAUCAGUAGCUGGUCUGAGAGGAUGAUCAGCCACACUGGAACUGAGACACGGUCCAGACUCCUACGGGAGGCAGCAGUGGGGAAUAUUGGACAAUGGGCGCAAGCCUGAUCCAGCCAUACCGCGUGGGUGAAGAAGGCCUUCGGGUUGUAAAGCCCUUUUGUCUGGGAAAGAAAAGCA